ACGAACGCUGGCGGCGUGCUUAACACAUGCAAGUCGAACGGAAAGGCCCUGCUUGCAGGGUACUCGAGUGGCGAACGGGUGAGUAACACGGGGGUGAUCUGCCCUGCACUUCGGGAUAAGCCUGGGAAACUGGGUCUAAUACCGGAUAGGAGCCAUUUUUAGUGUGAUGGUUGGAAAGUUUUUUCGGUGUAGGAUGAGCUCGCGGCCUAUCAGCUUGUUGGUGGGGUAAUGGCCUACCAAGGCGGCGACGGGUAGCCGGCCUGAGAGGGUGGACGGCCACAUUGGGACUGAGAUCCGGCCCAGACUCCUACGGGAGGCAGCAGUGGGGAAUAUUGCACAAUGGGCGCAAGCCUGAUGCAGCGACGCCGCGUGGGGGAUGACGGCCUUCGGGUUGUAAACUCCUUUCGCUAGGGACGAAGCUUUUUGUGACGGUACCUAGAUAAGAAGCACCGGCUAACUACGUG
rnacentral:rRNA from 1 species